GCAAAUAAUAAAACUUACGAUUUGCUUUUUCCUGAUGCGAAUGUCGAAAAUGUGAUUUUAUUGGAUAACGUGAUGCCUAAUAUGGUAGAGAUGUCGUUGAUGUUUUGGAUGAAAACAAAUGAAUUUCGACAAAUGGCGUUGUUGUCUUACGCCGUGAAAGAUAGUCCUGGUGAAUUUUUUAUUGGCAUUGACGAAAAAUGGCUGAUUAUUACCAUGAAGUCAACGGAUAAUUUAAAACUAAAUAUUUCACAAAUCAGCGAUGGUUGCUGGCAUCAUCUAGCCAUCAUAAUUGGUCGCACUAGUAAAAAAAUUUUUCUCGAUGGAUUUAUAACUUAUAACGAAGCUAUGGUCAGUCAUUCAUUACCACUAUUACAUGGUGGUGGUGUUGUUGCUAUUGGUCAAAAACUUGAAUGUGAGAAUGCUGUUUUUGAUCCAAAUAUGUCAUUUGUUGGUGAAAUACGUUAUUUGAACUUGUGGAGUAAGGACGUGACGCGAGAUACAACUUGUCCUAUGAUGUUGAUUACUGACGAAUGCACCACUGGUCGAAAUGAUGCUUUUAUAAUUAAAUGGAGUCGUGUGUACCAACUUGCAA